rnacentral:lncRNA from 1 species
GGAAAUAACUACAUCAUUUGUGUUUUAGGGUUUCUGUCUCAUAAACAUAUACCUCAUCUAACUUAUUUAAUUGUAAUUUCUUUGCAAUUUCUAUUUAAUAAAUAUUGAAGAAGUUUUUUAAUCAAUAUUUGAUAUUACAAUCUAUUUUUCAGUUUUAAGGAUCACUGUUAAUUCAUUUUAUAUUUUUUUAAAAUAAUUUGGAUUUUUCAUUUACAAAUAAGCCACACUUGGAAUCCUUGAAGACAAAUCUUGCUGCUUUAUGUGGAGAUAAUUUGUGAAAAUGAGAUGUAAAUAUCUAUGCUAAUUAUUGCACUAAAAAUAUCUUUCCUAUUAGCAAAAAAAUGUAUGAUGGUAAAUUAAAUUAAUUUAAAAUUCAAAAAGAUUUUAUGUUUUGUGAUGCUGAAAUUAUAAUUGGUUUACUUUUCAUUUUUUAUAUUUUUGUUGUUGAUCAUAAAUUAAUAGGUAAGAAAAGACAUUUGGUUACAUUUCUGACCUUACAAAAUCAAGCCAAAAAAUCUAUAUUGAAUAAAACAAAUUUAUACUAACCAUUAUGUAUUGUGAAAUUAUCUUUUUUUGAUAAUGUUAACUUCUGUAGUUUCAUGAAAGCAUAAAUGACUUUUAAUCAUUGUUUCCUAUAUUAAAAUUAAUGAAUUAAUACGAUCAAUACAAAACCUUAAAAGUUCUGCGAUAUUAUUUGAACAUCAGAACCUUGGAAACUUGGUGACAUGUGUGAGGGUAUGAUGAUGGUCCAUUUAUAUAUUCUUUAAUUUUUAUGUAAGUGUUCUCUUUUCUUUAUUUUUUUUUUGCUUUUUUCCUCUGAUCUAUAUAAUUUAGCAUCCAAUUUUUCGCAAUUUUUAUUUUUUGCCUGCCAUUCACUUUUCUUCAUUUUUUUACCAUUUAUUAUAUCUGGCCUUUUGUUCCUUUCCCGGCAUUCUCUAUUCUGUAAACCCCAUCCAAUCAAAACCCGAAUGUGUAUAAAAAUGCUUUAAUGGUUAAUACUUAGGAUAAUUUCCCAUUCAAUAAUUUCAGGAAGAGUACAAAAAUAUGAUGAUUUAAAUAAAAAAAAAAUAUAAAAAAACAUAUAUCAUUCUAGUAACAAAAAAAACAUAAAUGCAAGAUGCAUGCAACAAUUACACAAUC